AACGAACGCUGGCGGCAGGCCUAACACAUGCAAGUCGAACGCCGUAGCAAUACGGAGUGGCAGACGGGUGCGUAACGCGUGGGAACAUACCCUUUGGUUCGGAAUAACUCAGGGAAACUUGAGCUAAUACCGGAUACGUCCGAGAGGAGAAAGAUUUAUCGCCGAAGGAUUGGCCCGCGUCUGAUUAGCUAGUUGGUGAGGUAACGGCUCACCAAGGCGACGAUCAGUAGCUGGUCGAGAGGAUGAUCAGCCACACUGGGACUGAGACACGGCCCAGACUCCUACGGGAGGCAGCAGUGGGGAAUAUUGGACAAUGGGCGCAAGCCUGAUCCAGCCAUGCCGCGUGAGUGAUGAAGGCCUUAGGGUUGUAAAGCUC
rnacentral:rRNA from 1 species